GAUGAACGCUGGCGGCGUGCUUAACACAUGCAAGUCGAACGGAAAGGCUCCUGCUUGCAGGGGUACUCGAGUGGCGAACGGGUGAGUAACACGAGGGUGAUCUGCCCUGCGCUUCGGGAUAAGCCUGGGAAACUGGGUCUAAUACCGGAUAGGACGAUGGUUUGGAUGCCAUUGUGGAAAGUUUUUUCGGUGUGGGAUGAGCUCGCGGCCUAUCAGCUUGUUGGUGGGGUAAUGGCCUACCAAGGCGUCGACGGGUAGCCGGCCUGAGAGGGUGUACGGCCACAUUGGGACUGAGAUACGGCCCAGACUCCUACGGGAGGCAGCAGUGGGGAAUAUUGCACAAUGGGCGCAAGCCUGAUGCAGCGACGCCGCGUGGGGGAUGACGGCCUUCGGGUUGUAAACUCCUUUCGCUAGGGACGAAGCGCAAGUGACGGUACCUGGAGAAGAAGCACCGGCUAACUACGUG
rnacentral:rRNA from 1 species